AGACUUUGGACCAGUCCAGGGAUCAAAUACAAGGAAUAAAUAUGAGCCUCAAAUGAAUUAAUGCUUAUGAUCAGCCCAGAUCACAAUUAAUUCCUAAAUAUUAAUUCAUUCCACUAGAAAAUUAAUAUUAACUUACCACUUUAUUGUUAAUGAUGAGUUAGGUUUUGUAUUUAGACUUAUCAGAUCCCCGUAUUUAAGUAUCCAACAUCAUUAAUAAUAUAUAAAAUUUUAUUGAAAAAAGAAAAAGAACUUAAACCCUUGAAAGCACAUGAAGCAGACUAAGGGUCGAGCCUUGUUAAAACCUCUUAGAGGGAGAGGAAAAAGAGUACUCGUCUAAGAAAUUCAGAAAGAAAAAAAGAAAAGGCAACGGAAAAGAGGAUAUACUUCAGAAGCUCCGGCCUAACCAUCGCCCCCAAGUAAUACCAGGCAAUUCCCGAG
rnacentral:lncRNA from 1 species